UAUUAGAUUGGCAGAAUAGUGCAAAUGAUUUAGAAUCAUUUUAUAAAUUUAAAUUUAUCUAAUA
rnacentral:tRNA from 1 species